rnacentral:rRNA from 1 species
AGUGAACGCUGGCGGUAGGCCUAACACAUGCAAGUCGAACGGCAGCACAGUAAGAGCUUGCUCUUACGGGUGGCGAGUGGCGGACGGGUGAGGAAUACAUCGGAAUCUACUUUUUCGUGGGGGAUAACGUAGGGAAACUUACGCUAAUACCGCAUACGACCUACGGGUGAAAGCAGGGGAUCUUCGGACCUUGCGCGAUUGAAUGAGCCGAUGUCGGAUUAGCUAGUUGGCGGGGUAAAGGCCCACCAAGGCGACGAUCCGUAGCUGGUCUGAGAGGAUGAUCAGCCACACUGGAACUGGGACACGGUCCAGACUCCUACGGGAGGCAGCAGUGGGGAAUAUUGGACAGUGGGCGCAAGCCUGAUCCAGCCAUACCGCGUGGGUGAAGAAGGCCUUCGGGUUGUAAAGCCCUUUUGUUGGGAAAGAAAAGCAGCAGGUUAAUACCCCGCUGUUCUGACGGGACCCAAAGAAUAAGCACCGGCUAACUGCGU